GGAGGGAUGGCAGAGUGGUUGAUUGCACCGGUCUUGAAAACCGGAGACGCCGUAAGGCGUUCGUGGGUUCGAAUCCCUCUCCCUCCG
rnacentral:tRNA from 1 species